AACCUGUGAUGUGGACAGUCUCUCUGAUAUCCCUUGAACCUUUCCCACGCAGCCUUGAAUGCUUCUGUCGGACCCUGAACAAACGUGGAGAUCUUAGCGCGAAGAUC
rfam:Arabis alpina cultivar Pajares scaff_51234_1_contig_2, whole genome shotgun sequence.